UCGUCUUCUUUCACUAGUUGUUCCCCUUUCCUUUUCCUGUCCAAUAUGUCUAGUGCUAGCAUAGAUAGGUUACUUAGUGAUUCUAGUGAGCCCGAGGGUGCUGAGGUACGGUCCUCGGCUCCCGCCGGUGAGGCCAACUCUUUGCUAGAGAGCUCCUCUUUACACAUUUUAGGGGAAACGCCUUUACCAGACGUCGGGCCAUCUCGGCUUGAGGAACCCGAACCUCAGGUAGAGCGACCAACCUCCGGAGAGGGGGUCCCAUCUUCUUCUCGAGGUUGGGAUCCGGACAACUUUGGCCCUUCCACGAUGGCCUCGGACAGAUUGUUGUCCUUGGUAUCCUGUUACCGUCUCCCUGACACCCUUGUCUUCAGUAUUCCUUUGGGUCAAUACCCUUGGGUUCACGUUCAUCACGAGCUUGUGGUUUUUGAGGAGCAGCUUGUAGCUGGGUUGCGCUUCCCGUUCCACCCUUUCAUCGUAGAAAUCAUUAAGUUCUUUAACAUCACUAUUGACCAGCUACACCCGAACUCCAUCCGUACCACUGUUGGCACGAUCUCACUUUUCCACGAGUAUAACCGACCUCUUACCUUAGACAUAUUUAGUUCGAUUUGCUCCAUCAAGAAGAACUCUUCUUGCCUGCACAGGGACACCCGACAAAGCUAUUAUCUCUCCUCGCCCUGGGUUCGAGGUUCUGUUCGGUAACCCAAACAAAGUAUCGACCUGGAAGAGGAGGUAUUUCUUUGUUCAGAAUCCUGAGAGAUGGCCAUUCUUGACUCAUUGACGAGUGGCCAUUAAGGACCUCGGGUAAGGUUGGAUGUUGAGACUAGGGCAGUCAUUAACUCUUGGAGGGACCUCAGCCUUGAAAUGAAAGAUUUCCUGGCUGAGGAAAAGCUUGUACGAGCUGGGCUGAGUCCUCCUGAAGCUAUGACGGGUGUUGACGUUGCUAACCUUCUGAGGAGUGUUCAGCGAAGGAGAGCAUAAUGACUCCGCGACUCGGGUUUCUUAAGAGCAAGGAUGCCGUGUUUCCUGCGGAGGUCGCAGAGUGGGCUGACAUGCCAACGAGUUAGCAUGGAGGGAGAGCGGCUAGCUAUUGUGAAUUCCGCUAUCCAUCUAUGAGGACGUACUUGGCUGACUGGUGCUCUACCCUCUGAGCUGCAUUGCAUUCCGCAGGUAGGGUCCCGUGUAGCAGAUAACUCGCGAGUGGGUCGAUCCAGCUCGGUUUCGCUUGUGACACGGGAGCGACCUCU